rnacentral:rRNA from 1 species
UACGUAGGGGGCAAGCGUUGUCCGGAAUUAUUGGGCGUAAAGAGCGCGUAGGCGGUCCGAUAAGUCGGCUGUGAAAGUCCAGGGCUCAACCCUGGAAAGCCGGCCGAUACUGUCGGACUAGAGUCCGGAAGAGGCAAGUGGAAUUCCCGGUGUAGCGGUGAAAUGCGCAGAUACCGGGAGGAACACCAAUUGCGAAGGCAGCUUGCUGGGACGGUACUGACGCUGAGGCGCGAAAGCGUGGGGAGCAAACAGG